rnacentral:rRNA from 1 species
GAUGAACGCUGGCGGCGUGCCUAAUACAUGCAAGUCGAGCGAACGGACGAGACUCUUGCUUCUCUGAUGUUAGCGGCGGACGGGUGAGUAACACGUGUAUAACCUACCUAUAAGACUGGGAUAACUUCGGGAAACCGGAUCUAACACCGGAUAAUAUUUUGAACCGCAUGGUUCUACAGUGAAAGACGGUCUUGCUGUCACUUAUAGAUGGUUCCGAGCUGCAUUAGGUAGUUGGUAAGGUAACGGCUUACCAAGGCUACGAUGCAUAGCCGACCUGAGAGGGUGAUCGGCCACACUGGAACUGAGACACGGUCCAGACUCCUACGGGAGGCAGCAGUAGGGAAUCUUCCGCAAUGGGCGAAAGCCUGACGGAGCAACGCCGCGUGAGUGAUGAAGGUCUUCGGAUCGUAAAGCUCUGUUAUUAGGGAAGAACAUAUGUGUAAGUAAAUGUGCACAUCUUGACGGUACCUAAUCAGAAAGCCACGGCUAACUACGUG